rnacentral:RNase_P_RNA from 1 species
AAAGUGGGUUGGACAACCGCGGAGGUGUUUACACCUUGGAGGAAAGUCCGGGCACCAUAGAGCAGGAUUCCAGCUAACGGCUGGGCAGUGUGAGCUGAUGGACAGUGCAGCAGAAAAUAUACCGCCGAUGGCUCGCUUGCGAGCACAGGUAAGGUUGAAAUGGUGCGGUAAGAGCGCACCGCGCAUUCUGGUAACAGAUGUGGCAGUGAAAACCCAAUCCGGUGCAAGACCAAAUAGGGAAACACCGUGUUUAAGCUUGCUUAAAUACACCCUGCUGCUCGCAGGAGUUUCCGGGUAGGUUGCUUGAGGCUGGCAGUGAUGUCUAGUCCAGAUGAAUGGUUGUCGCUCGCAAGAGUACAGAACCCGGCUUACAGACCCACUUUUCCC